rnacentral:rRNA from 1 species
CUCGUAGGCGGCCAACUAAGUCGGACGUGAAAUCCCCAGGCUCAACCUGGGAACUGCGUCCGAUACUGGAUGGCUUGAAUCCGGGAGAGGGAUGCAGAAUUCCAGGUGUAGCGGUGAAAUGCGUAGAUAUCUGGAGGAAUACCGGUGGCGAAGGCGGCAUCCUGGACCGGCAUUGACGCUGAGGAGCGAAAGCCGAGGGGAGCAAACG